rnacentral:rRNA from 1 species
UACAGAGGGUGCAAGCGUUGCUCGGAAUCAUUGGGCGUAAAGGGCAGGUAGGUGGUCUCAUUUGUCUGGGGUGAAAGCCUUCGGCUUAACCGAAGAAGUGCCUCAGAAACGGUGAGACUAGAGUCUUGGAGAGGUUAGCGGAAUUCCCGGUGUAGCGGUGAAAUGCGUAGAGAUCGGGAGGAACACCAGCGGCGAAGGCGGCUAACUGGACAAGUACUGACACUCAACUGCGAAAGCGUGGGGAGCAAACAGG